GCAGAUGUAGCUGCACCAUUCUAAAGGAGUGUCCAUUGUAGGAAUCACAAGAUAAGCCUAAUUUGUCGAGUAAAAUUUUGACAUGUGAAAUGAAAAAUUUUCUGUUUAAAGGUUUCAUAUCUUCAGAGAUGAAAAAAGCCUCAGUAUUAGAGGAGUACACAGACUGCCUCAACUGAUUGUAUUUCAAUAUCGAUAAAACAGGACAAAUUGAACAACCUGUUUUGUAAAGUGGAAUAGUAAUUCCUUGUCUAAAAGGAUCAGUUUUAGACUUUUUAAGAGUUACAAAAAUACAGUCAGCAGUGAUUUUGCAAAUCACUGCAGCAUAAGUUACAUUCAGGAUCAAACUGAUUCAUUACAGUGAAUUCACCACAUCUUAAAAAACCAAAAAAGGCUGUUGUACAGGCAGCCUCUAACAUAAUACUAUUAAAAUUACCAAAAAUACAUGUAUGUAGUAAUUUACACAUUUUUGACAAAAUAGACAUAGUAAUAGGUAAACGUUUGCGUUUGACAGUAGACCCUUUUUUUUUCUUUAAACCAAUUAAAAUUGUUUUAAGACACUCAAGAGGCUUU
rnacentral:lncRNA from 1 species